UUGAUCAUGGCUCAGAUUGAAUAUGGCGGGAUGCUUUACACAUGCAAGUCGAAACGGCAGCGGUCGACUUUACCCGGUGGCGAGUGGCGAACGGGUGAGUAAUGUAUCGAACGUGCCUGUAGUGUGGGGAGAAUCUGCGCGGAAACCAGCUGGGCUGCUGCAAUGCUGCUCUUCGGGGAAAAGUAGACCUCCGUCUUCGCACUAUUAGAGCGGCUGAUAUCGGAUGCUAGUUGAAGCAGGGUAACGGCUCACCAAGGCGACGAUCCCGUGGCUGGUUUGAGAGGACGACCAGCCAAACACCUGACUGAGACGGCCUUGAGCUCACGGAUGCAGCAGUGGGGAAAUUUUGGAUAAUGGGGAAACCCCGGAUCCAGCCAUCCUGCAGGGAAGAUGGUGUCUUCGGGGUUAAAAAGCACUUUUGGCAGGAAAGAAAAUGCACGAUAAUACCCCGUGCAACUGACGGUACUCUGCAGAAUACACUAUUAACUACGUGCCAGCAGCCGCGGUAAUACGUAGGUGUUACGCAUCGGAACUCGCUAUGUAAAGUGGCGGGCGGGAAGUAGUCUGGCGUUACGCGUGAAAAUCCAGAGCUUAACUUUGGAACUGCAUUUUUAACUACCGAGCUAGAGUCAGAGGGAGGUGAAUUCCGCGUGUAGCAGUGAAAUGCGUAGAUAUGCGGAGGAACACCGAUGGCGAAGGCCUCCUUGGGGAUAACACUGACGCUCAUGCACGAAAGCGUGGGGAGCAAACAGGAUUAGAUACCCUGGUAGUCCACGCCCUAAACGAUGCCAAUCUAGCUGUUGGGGCCUUCGGCCUUGGUAGCAGCUAACGCGUGAAGUUGACCGCCUGGGGAGUACGGUCGCAAGAUUAAAACUCAAAGAAUGAUGACCCGCACAAGCGGUGGUGAUGUGAUUAAUCGAUGCAACGCGAAAACCUACUCUACCUUGAUAUGUUCAAAUCCCGAAGAGAUUUGGGAGUGCUCGCAACGGGAAACGCGUGCUGCAUGCUGCCGUCAGCCUGUGUCGCAGAUGUUGGGUUAAGUCCCGCAACGAGCGCAACCCUUGUCAUUAGUUGCUACGAAAGGCACUCUAAUGACUGCCGGUGACAAACCGGAUAUGGUGGCGGGAUGGACGUCAAGUCCAUGGCGCCUUGCGGUAGGGCUUGCUAUCGUCGCGCGGGCUGCUCGUAUUGCGGUCGCCAACCCGCGAGGGACGCCAAUCCCAGAAACCUCGAUCGUAGUCCGGAUCGCAGUCUGCAACUCGACUGCGUGAAGUCGAAUCGCUAGUAAUCGCGGACUGCAUGGUUUGCGGCACAUGUUCCUGGCCCGCAAGAUCGCCCGUCACACCAUGGGGAGUGGGUUUUACCAGGUGAAGUUAGCCUAACCGUAAGGAGGGCGAUUACCACGGGUAGGAUUCAUGACUAGCGGCGUCGUACUGCUGCAG
rnacentral:rRNA from 1 species